rnacentral:rRNA from 1 species
GACGAACGCUGGCGGCGUGCCUAAUACAUGCAAGUAGGACGAGUUGCGAACGGGUGAGUAACGCGUAGGAACCUACCUAUUAGAGGGGGAUAACUAUUGGAAACGAUAGCUAAUACCGCAUACUAGUCGAUGGACCUGCGUUGUAUUAGCUAGUUGGUGGGGUAAAGGCCUACCAAGGCGACGAUCCGUAACUGGUCUGAGAGGAUGAUCAGUCACACUGGAACGGAGACACGGUCCAGACUCGUACGGGAGGCAUCAGUGGGGAAUAUUGGACAAGGGGCGAAAGCCUGAUCCAGCCAGGCCGGGUGUGUGAAGAAGGUCUUCGGAUUGUAAAGCACUGUAAGUUGGGAGGCGUUACCAACAGAAUAAGCCCCGGCUACCUUCGUGCCAGCCGCCGCGGUAAUAC